rnacentral:lncRNA from 1 species
UUCACCCCGCCUCUCUCUUCAAUCAAAUACAUCUUUCAUUUUUCCUGAUUGCUUUCCCAUUUCAUAGUACAGAAACCCUAGGUUUCUUCCUCUGCGGCUUUGUUGUCGAUUUGAAGGUCAUCGCUCUCAAUCAAUCCUCUGGGUCGUUUGUUUCAUCUAUUGCUUCAGCACUGAUGUCAUCGCACCAUCAAAUUUCUUCUUUUUCAGCCCCCUUCCAAUCCAGAGAUCGUCCGCCACCACUUAUUUCCUUCUGAAUUGACUCUACAACAGGAGGAACCUUAUGGUGUGAUAUGAUGAAUCAAGGAGGAGUUUCAGACACCAGAACGACACUGGACCAGAAAGUUUCACUUGUGGUGUUUGAUAAAUAACAUUGCCUCUCUCACCAUGGUUCUAGACAAGUAAUUCCCCCUCCCUCCCCUUCUCAUACCUGCAGGGGACUGGUGGGCAUGCAGAAACCUCCAAGAGUUGACUGAAGGUUGCUCAUCCUUCGGUGACAAUUUUGACAUGUUUACUUUUAAUGGGUCGAUUAGACAUAUAUUUGGGAAAAAAAAAACUUUCUUUUUGGUCUCAAAAAGACAACCAUAUUAGGCAAGUCCUGAUAACAAUGAGAGUUUGAAGUUUAGGUGGCUGAGCUGCAUUAACACUCAUCAUUAACACUAAAUCUGUAGAUUUGAAAUUAAGCAAAGGAAAUCACCAACAAGUCUAGCCGGUAUGUGUCAUACCACGGGAAAAUUCAUUGACAUUAACAUCUUUGAUCUUUUCUGUCCUUAGAUCUUGCCACUCCAUAAACUGUGAGUCUAUAACUGCUAUAAUCUUUUGGAUUGCAAGAGUCAACCCUAUCAAUUUAGGUUUCUGGCGAUACAUUCAGGGAGGGAGAUACGGUAAAGAUGCCUCCAAAGGUAGAGCAUUAUCGGUCACAACGAAUCUAAUCGGUUCCAACCGAACAGUGGUGUAAAUCAGAUGUUGCAUUCUUUUGAUUAUAUCACAAAUUUAUUAUUUUUGUUUCCGCUUGGUGUUUGCGUCAUAUCCUUUAUACAACCCGUGUAACACACGGGAACUUAAGCUAUAGUGCCACGUGUAUGUGUGUUUUUGUAGUCAAGUGGGUUCUCUACAUGUUUCGCAUCGACGGCUGUCUGUUUAUACACACCUUCAAAAAACUUUUGCCUACUGUAUUUUUUUCUAGAUUGAUGUUUUAUCUAAUAGGUUUCAGUAGAAUAAUGUGAUGAUUGGAUCUUUGUUGUUUAAUAUUCUUGAUUCUUCUGUUACAUCUUCAUCCCUGUUUGUUUCCAUAGGUUUUGUUCCUUUUUUUUUUUUUUUUUU